CUCUAGAUCAACCUUGUUGCUCCGUAUCAAUCAUGUUCUAAGUGGUUGUUACUAAGAGGCCACAAUUUGAUAGUGUAGUGCAUUUUUUGGCCUUGGCUGAUGUUAGGUUAUUUCAACAUCAAUGGCAUUCUCAUGGAGGAGCCCAUGUCAGUUGUUUUCCAAGUUGGAGCAAAUGGGGUUGGGUUGCUGGAUCCUGGUUCAGAAGCAAAUAAUUUGAAAAGGGUGCCGAAGUUGAUCUCCCCUUUUAGCUUGCUCAUGAGUUAUACUCGCGGCGAGCAGCGUCAACAAAUGUGUGUGCUUGCUUCAAUCAAAAGUAAGUUUUGUUCUCCUCCUCCAUGCUCUAAAUUGUGAAGUGAUAAUUUGCAAGCACUGCCACAUGUGAUCAGAGAAUGGUGUUUUGAUCUUGUACUUAUCAACCUUUGCCAAAAAAAUUUGAGAAAUUUGAAGUGAUAAUUCGCAAGUGAUAGUUUGAGAAAUUUGGAUAAAGAAAGCGGCUUAUUGUAGCUUUUCUCUAGUCAAAUCCUUCUGGGGAUCGAGUGCUUUAUCUUGGUGAAUUAACUUAUAUCAUUUUUAUAACAAGGUCACUCCAAUUUUCUUUCACUAUUAACUUGCUUAAUAGGCUAUUAUUGAUGCUGCUUCGUAUGUCCCACCUCCACCUUCAGAAGAGCAAAAGAAGAGGAUUCAAAAAUUGUAUGUAACGUAUGUUUAAUUUGUCACUGUGCUGGUCUUUGCUCAUCUGAUAUUAUCCAUUGCUAAUGAUAACAAGCUUGAACAUGUAGUAGAUCCACAAGUGUUUCACUGGUGUUGCCUUUGCAUUAUAAUGCCUUUUGUGAUUUAGUUGUGACUUUGUAACCUGGAUUUUAGAAGGGCUGCUAUCGGAGAACAUAAGAGAAUGUAGAACAAGAAAGCUCUCUCACAGAAAAAACAGAGACAGUUGGGACUGAUCAUCAGGCCUUAUAGAAGACCAGAAUGGCCACAAAAAGCAUAAGGAGGGUACCAGACGCUUGAUUCUAUGCUUGGGAAAGGAGGAUGCAAGGGAACUCUUUCCAAGGUCCAAUUCCUUCAAGCUUUGCUAAUCUCACGAAAUUGACUGAUUUAAGGAUUGGAGACCUCCUAAGUUCAGGAUCUUCUUUGGCAUUUAUUAGCAACCUGACUUCCUUAAGCAUCUUGGUCUUAAGAAACAACAAGAUAUCUGGUGCUAUCCCAUAGGACUUCGCAAAAUAUACAAGUUUGCAAAUGUUGGAUUUGAGCUUCAACAAUAUAACAGGAACGUUACCCGACUCUCUUUUCAAUUUGACCUCGCUCGGUUACUUAUUCCUUGGAAAUAAUAGCCUCUGGGAGCCUGCCCACUCAAAAGAGCUCAUCCCUUCUCAAUGUAGAUUUAUCCUAUAAUAAACUUGCAGGAAGUUUUCCUUCUUGGAUUAGCCAGAAAAAUUUACAUCUGAAUUUGGUGGCAAAUAACUUUGUGACUGAUGAUUCUAAUAGCAGUGACCUUCAGCAAAUAACAUCACUGGGAGGCUGUCAGAGUCACUAGGCAAUCUGAAAAACGUUACUUGUGCGUCAUUAUUAUUUUCUUGCUCUAAAUAAUAAAAAGAAGCUUAGUUCACACACACAUGAUACACUUGUGUGUCUGUGUAUAUAUAUACCUACAACACAUCUUAAUAUUGUGUAAUUAAGAAGAUUUGGAGAUUGUACAUGUGUGGAUAUAUAUGAAGAUGAAAGCUAAUUGUUGGUACUGCAUAGUUUUGCUUGUUUUUCUGCAGGUGAUAAUGAUGAUGAUGAUGAACACAAUGCCAAUUGCUGCUCUUGCUGCUUUUGAAGAAUAUAAUAAUGCUUCUGAUGUUCUUGGACGAUAUGAGAAUUGGUUGCUGGCAUCAACUUUAAUGGCUAGGAAGAGAUGUGGUCGAAUACCCACUCCAAGCCGAUAUCUUGGUGCGAGGACCUUCCAUUGGAAAAUUUCUCCAUUAGAAGGGUGGAAUGAACAUGGAGACACAAUGAUCGACAUUGAGAAAAUAUGAUUCAGAAAAAUAAACUACUCAGCAAUUUAUUGCUUCUAUCCCUCCAGAGGUUAUAAGUAAGUUGGAAUGAAAGAGUAGAAGCAGCAGAACUAGUACAUCCUUUCGCUCUUACUAUCUCAAGGUAUUCAAGUAAAUUUUGAGAUAGCUCUUUGUACUUCACAUGCUAUUAUCAGAACGGAGGAAGCUUUCUUCCCAUGCCCCUCACACUUCAGAGGAUAUUAAAUAGCCUCAACCUUCAGCCCAAUAGGAAGAUAAGGGUGUUGAUAAAAUUACAACAAAAUGAAUGUAAUAUUUUGGAUCAUUACAUUAGAUAUUUUUAUAAUUUUUUGUUAUAUUAGAUGUUUAGACUAUUAUAUUUUGUAUUGGCUUGUCUUAUUAAAUGUUUGGACGGUUACAUUUUGUAUUGGUUUGUUGUAUUAUAUG